rnacentral:rRNA from 1 species
AGAAUCAACGCUGGCGGCGUGCCUAACACAUGCAAGUCGCACGAGAAAGGGACUUCGGUCCUGAGUACAGUGGCGCACGGGUGAGUAACACGUGAAUAAUCUACCUCCGAGUGGGGAAUAACUGAGAGAAAUCUUAGCUAAUACCGCAUAACACUUACGAGUCAAAGCAGCAAUGCGCUUGGAGAGGAGUUCGCGGCAGAUUAGUUAGUUGGCGGGGUAAUGGCCCACCAAGACGAUGAUCUGUAUCCGGCCUGAGAGGGCGCACGGACACACUGGAACUGAAACACGGUCCAGACUCCUACGGGAGGCAGCAGUGGGGAAUUUUGCGCAAUGGGGAAACCCUGACGCAGCAACGCCGCGUGGAGGAUGAAGUACUUCGGUACGUAAACUCCUUUCGAUCGGGACGAUAAUGACGGUACCGGAAGAAGAAGCCCGGCUAACUCGUGCCAGCAGCCGC